UUCGUAGGUGGCUAGCUAAGUCAGACGUGAAAUCCCUCAGCUUAACUGGGGAACUGCGUCUGAUACUGGCAAGCUUGAGUGCAGGAGAGGAACGCGGAAUUCCAGGUGUAGCGGUGAAAUGCGUAGAUAUCUGGAGGAACACCGGUGGCGAAGGCGGCGUUCUGGACUGCAACUGACACUGAGGAACGAAAGCCAGGGGAGCAAACG
rnacentral:rRNA from 1 species